GCCAGGUACAGUGGCCUAUGCCUGUAAUCCCAACAAUUUAGGAGGCUGAGGCAGGAAGAUCACAAGUUUGAGACCAGCCUCUG
rnacentral:sRNA from 1 species